ACCACUUAAAAAAAAAUUAUGGUGGUGUCACAAAAUCGGAGGCCACGACUGUUUACUAAAAACACAAUUCAGAGCAAUGAUGAAAAUCAUAGUAUUCUGGAUGAAAUUUGCCCGAUGCCAUUAACAUAAAAGAGGUAAUGGGAAACUGUUACUAAUUGAAAGUCUGGUUAAUAGCGGUCUUAACUAUGAGGAUCCUAAGGUAGCAAAAUAAAUUGGCCAUUAAAUGUGGUCUGGUAUCAAUAGUGUAACGUGGCUCACUGUCUCUACA
rnacentral:rRNA from 1 species